CGAGCUGCAACACGGAAAAUAGGGUGAUGCUGCUUAACUACAGAAACUGUUCCUGAAGUAGCUAACAAAACUAUCGCGGUGUGACGUCAGACGCCGACAAUUGGUCUUGUGAAGCAACUCGGAACAAAGAAAUACGGCAUGGAGAUUCAAGAUGGUGACCUGGUCCAUUUUAAGGACUUGUCCAGAAUGGAACAAACCUCUGCUUCCUGUCUGGAGACCUGGUCAGACACGCCCAGCUUCAAAGACCUCAGACUGUGAAAGGUUGAUCUUCAUGAAGCGCUUCAAACAGGAAUGAACGGAGCCAAAGGGUGGUGCUGUGUCCAGUUCUUAUAAUGCAUCCAUGACAAAACCUCACUCGGUCACAAGU